GACGGAGGAUGCAAGCGUUAUCCGGAAUGAUUGGGCGUAAAGCGUCCGCAGGUGGCAGUUCAAGUCUGCUGUCAAAGACCGGGGCUUAACUUCGGAAAGGCAGUGGAAACUGAACAGCUAGAGUAUGGUAGGGGCAGAGGGAAUUCCUGGUGUAGCGGUGAAAUGCGUAGAGAUCAGGAAGAACAUCGGUGGCGAAGGCGCUCUGCUGGACCGUAACUGACACUGAGGGACGAAAGCUAGGGGAGCGAAUGGG
rnacentral:rRNA from 1 species